rnacentral:rRNA from 1 species
CCUACGGGUGGCAGCAGUGGGGAAUAUUGCACAAUGGGGGAAACCCUGAUGCAGCGACGCCGCGUGAGUGAAGAAGUAUUUCGGUAUGUAAAGCUCUAUCAGCAGGGGAGAAAAUGACGGUACCUGUUUAAGAAGCCCCGGCUAACUACGUUCCAGCAGCCGCGGGAAUACGGAGGGGGCCAGCGUUAUCCGGAUUUACUGGGUGUAAAGGGCGCGUAGACGGCAGCACAAGUCUGGAGUGAAAUGCCGGGGCUUAACCCCGGAACUGCCUUGGAAACUGUGCAGCUCGAGUGCAGGAGAGGUAAGUGGAAUUCCUAGUGUAGCGGUGAAAUGCGUAGAUAUUAGGAGGAACACCAGUGGCGAAGGCGGCUUACUGGACUGUAACUGACGUUGAGGCUCGAAAGCGUGGGGAGCAAACAGGAUUAGAUACCCCGGUAGUC